GGUCAAUUCGGGAACAUUCCAAGCCCUAUAAAUAAUGCGUCAGAUACUUCUGCUUUACCAAAAUCCAAUCGCAUCAUAUUUCCGUAUCACAGCGAGCCCUAACCCUAGAAUUCGAUCAUGUCUAGCAAGCAAGGAGGUAAAGCUAAGCCGCUGAAGCAACCAAAGGCUGAUAAGAAGGAAUACGACGAGACGGACAUGGCUAACAUUCAAAAGAAGAAGGAAGAAGAGAAGGCUCUUAAGGAGCUAAGGGCAAAGGCUCAGCAGAAAGGAUCAUUUGGAGGUUCUGGCUUGAAGAAAAGUGGCAAGAAAUGAGACCUGAUUUUCGUGUUGAUUUGGGUUGGUACCUUUCGAACGGGCCAUCUAUUUGCCGAUUGAUGUUUGGUAACCUGUAAACUUUGCAGGAUUCUAUUAUAAAGAAUUGAUUGCAUAUGGGAGUAUGGAUUUCUAAAAAACUGUUUGCUUUUAUGUCAAAUUUUAGCAAAAUAUUUAGGGAUCUUCCUAUUCAUAGUAAAUAAUUCAAAUAUUGACGGUUUAUUUUCAUUCAAUUAAAAUUAAAAACCUCAAUAUUGACGGUUUAUUUUCAUUCAAUUGAAAAUAUCUCGACUUCUGCCUCCCGACUUAUGUAGCCCAAGUAGAAGGAUAUUGUGAGAAACCACCAAAACGGCCCAAUUCAUGUAGCCCAAGUUAGUAUUACUUGGACCUACUUCUUUGGAAUGUCUACAGUGAGUUUUCCGCAUAUGGCACACCUCAUUUGAAAAUAGUAAUAGUAGAAAAUAAGAGUAAAACCUCAAUAUUGUUUUUGACUGAUAAAAAAUUAGAAACAUCGAAAUCCUUUGUUCUUUUUUUUCAUUGAUAUAUAAAUUGCACCUUUCUACUCCCCCAA